GCCGAUGUAGCUCAAUGGUAGAGCAAUCGCCUUGUAAGUGAUAGGUUAUGGGUUCGAUUCCCAUCAUCGGCU
rnacentral:tRNA from 6 species